rnacentral:lncRNA from 1 species
CGGACUCCGCCGAGAAGAGACCAUCACGGUUACACACGCGGUUGAUGUAUUUUAAUUGAGGUCAACUUCAGGUUUUCUACAACCGGACAUUAACAAAUUCCCAUCUGCCACAUAACCGCGGGCACGGCUCUCGAAAGUUUAUACCCUGCAGGGGUGUCCCAACUUAGCCCAUGACAAGCUCUCGCGAUCAACGAAGGAAUAGACCUUCACCCGAGACACUCCGACCAGACUCGGUAUCCCGGUACAUCAAGACAUUUCGACAAUGGUAAAACAAGACCAGCAAGACCUCCCGGCGUGCCGACAUCCUGAUAGUAGCCGCGCGUAUCUCGUCUCAGGCCACAACCGGAUGAACACUACGUACGGCAACUGACGAUACCCCAAGUUGCCUAGGGGCGGCACCGCAAGUGGCUCUGGUUUGGACCAACACUUAGACAAGCAUUGGCCCGGGGGGGCUAUAAUAGAGAUGACCCUUGGGUUAAUUACUCCCAAGGGAAAAGUAGGUGGUGGUGAGGCAAAUGGUAAAAGUCAAUGUUGGGCCUUGCUGGACAAGUUUUAUUCAAAGCGAACUGUCAAGGGGGUCCCAUAAAUCACCCGACCGCGUAAGGAACGCAAAAUCCGGGAACAUAACACCGGUAUGACGGAAACUAGGGCGGCAAGAGUGGAACAAAACACCAGGCAUAAGGCUGAGCCUUCCACCCUUUACCAAAUAUAUAGAUGCAUUAAUAAUAUAAGAGAUAUUGUGAUAUCCCAACAAAACCCUGUCCACCAUGGAGCAAUCUUCAACUUCACCUGCAACUAGCAACGCUAUAAGAGGGGCUGAGCAAAGCGGUAACAUAGCCAAACAACGGUUUGCUAGGAAUGGUGUCAAAGAUUAGAGGUUCAUGGCAAUUUGGGAGGCUGACAAGCAAAUGGUAGGCAUCGUAGCAUUGGCAUAGCAAAAGAGCGAGCAAACUAGCAUAGCAAAGAUAGUAGUGAUUUCGAGGGUAUGAUCAUCUUGCCUGAUAUCCCGCAAGGAAGAAGUACGAGUCCAUGAAGAAGACAAACGGUCGUAGUCGAACGAAUCCUCACAACUCCGGAACGAAACCGAAGCUAACGAGAGAAGCAAACCGGAAAGAAGCAAGCAACAUGGUAAACACACAAGCAUAAUCAUGGCAUGAUGCACAAACAAGUAUGAUGCAUGUCCGGUUUAAAUAGCAUGACAUGGCAAAAUGCACAAAACAAACUUACAAAUUAAGUGGAGCUCAAUAUGCAACGAAGUGGCAUAUUGAAGAAAACACCACAUGACUCAUUUAGUUCUCUCUCGUUAUGCUACCAAAAUAUUAAGUAUUGGUUAACAUGGCAAGUGGUGAAGCAUAAUAAAACUAUUGGAAAUAUGCCCUAGAGGCAAUAAUAAAAGUAUUAUUAUUAUAUUUCCUUGUUCAUGAUAAUUGUCUUUUAUUCAUGCUAUAACUGUAUUAUCCGGAAAUCGUAAUACACGUGUGAAUACAUAGACCACAAUAUGUCCCUAGUAAGCCUCUAGUUGACUAGCUCGUUGAUCAAUAGAUGGUCACGAUUUCCUGGCUAUGGACAUUGGAUGUCGUUGAUAAUGGGAUCACAUCAUUAGGAGAAUGAUGUGAUGGACAAGACCCAAUCCUAAGACUAGCACAAAGAUCGUGUAGUUCGUUUGCUAGAGCUUUGCCAAUGUCAAGUAUCUCUUCCUUUGACCAUGAGAUCGUGUAACUCCUGGAUACCGUAGGAGUGCUUUGGGUGUAUAAAACGUCACAACGUAACUGGGUGACUAUAAAGGUGCACUACAGGUAUCUCCGAAAGUAUCUAUUGUUUUAUGCGGAUCGAGACUGGAAUUUGUCACUCCGUGUAAACGGAGAGGUAACUCUGGGCCCACUCGGUAGGACAUCAUCAUAUGCGCAAUGUGACCAAGGAGUUGAUCACGGGAUGAUGUGUUACGGAACGAGUAAAGUGACUUGCCGGUAACGAGAUUGAACAAGGUAUCGGUAUACCGACGAUCGAAUCUCGGGCAAGUAAAAUACCGCUAGACAAAGGGAAUUGUAUACGGGAUCGAUUGAGUCCUUGACAUCGUGGUUCAUCCGAUGAGAUCAUCGUGGAACAUGUGGGAGCCAUCAUGGGUAUCCAGAUCCCGCUGUUGGUUAUUGACCGGAGAACGUCUCGGUCAUGUCUGCAUGUCUCCCGAACCCGUAGGGUCUACACACUUAAGGUUCGAUGACGCUAGGGUUAUAAAGGAAGCUUGUAUGUGGUAACCGAAUGUUGUUCAGAGUCCCGGAUGAGAUCCCGGACGUCACGAGGAGUUCCGGAAUGGUCCGGAGGUAAAGAUUUAUAUAUAGGAAGUCCUGUUUCGGCCAUCGGGACAAGUUUCGGGGUCAUCGGUAUUGUACCGGGACCACCGGAAGGGUCCCGGGGGCCCACCGGGUGGGGCCACCUGCCCCGGGGGGCCACAUGGGCUGUAGGGGGUGCGCCUUGGCCUACAUGGGCCAAGGGCACCAGCCCCUAGAGGCCCAUGCGCCAAGAUAAAGGAAAAAGGGGAGAGUCCUAAAGGGGGAAGGCACCUCCGAGGUGCCUUGGGGAGGAUGGACUCCUCCCCCCCUCCUUGGCCGCACCCCAAAACCCAUCUAGGGCUGGCCGCCGCCCCUAGGGGGUGGGAAAACCCUAAAGGGGGCGCAGCCCCCUUCCCCCCUAUAUAUAUUGAGGCAUGGGGCUGCCCAUAACACAUGAUUUGAUCUCUCGUUGGUGCAGCCCUUCCCCUCUCCCUCCUCCUCUUCUCCCAUGGUGCUUGGCGAAGCCCUGCGGGAUUGCCACGCUCCUCCACCACCACCACGCCGUUGUGCUGCUGUUGGAUGGAGUCUUCCUCAACCUCUCCCUCUCUCCUUGCUGGAUCAAGGCGUGGGAGACGUCACCGGGCUGUACGUGUGUUGAACGCGGAGGUGCCGUCCGUUCGGCACUUGAUCAUCGGUGAUUUGAAUCACGACGAGUACGACUCCAUCAACCCCGUUCACUUGAACGCUUCCGCUUAGCGAUCUACAAGGGUAUGUAGAUGAACUCCUCCUUCUACUCGUUGCUGGUCUCUCCAUAGAUAGAUCUUGGUGUUACGUAGGAAAAUUUUUGAAUUUCUGCUACGUUCCCCAAUAGUGGUAUCAGAGCUAGGUCUAUUGCGUAGAUUCUUUGCACGAGUAGAACACAAAGUAGUUGUGGGCGUCGAUAUUGUUCAAUAUGCUUGCCGUUACUAGUCUUAUCUUGAUUCGGCGGCAUCGUGGGAUGAAGCGGCCCGGACCAACCUUACACGUACGCUUACGUGAGACCGGUUCCACCGACAAACAUGCACUAGUUGCAUAAGGUGGCUGGCGGGUGUCUGUCUCUCCCACUUUAGUCGGAUCGGAUUCGAUGAAAAGGGUCCUUAUGAAGGGUAAAUAGCAAUUGGCAUAUCACGUUGUGGUUCAUGCGUAGGUAAGAAACGUUCUUGCUAGAAACCCAUAGCAGCCACGUAAAACAUGCAAACAACAAUUAGAGGACGUCUAACUUGUUUUUGCAGGGUAUGCUAUGUGAUGUGAUAUGGCCAAAAGGAUGUGAUGAAUGAUAUAUGUAAUGUAUGAGAUUGAUCAUGUUCUUGUAAUAGGAAUCACGACUUGCAUGUCGAUGAGUAUGACAACCGGCAGGAGCCAUAGGAGUUGUCUUUAUUUAUUGUAUGACCUGCGUGUCAUUAAAGAACGCCAUGUAAACUACUUUACUUUAUUGCUAAACGCGUUAGUCAUAGAAGUAGAAGUAGUCGUUGGCGUGACAACUUCAUGAAGACACGAUGAUGGAGAUCAUGAUGAUGGAGAUCAUGGUGUCGUGCCGGUGACGAUGAUGAUCAUGGAGCCCCGAGGAUGAAGAUCAAAAGGAGCAAAAUGAUAUUGGCCAUAUCAUGUCACUAUUUGAUUGCAUGUGAUGUUUAUCAUGUUUAUGCAUCUUGUUUACUUAGGACGACGGUAGUAAAUAAGAUGAUCCCUUACAAAAUUUCAAGAAGUGUUCUCCCCUAACUGUGCACCGUUGCUACAGUUCGUCGCUUCUAAGCACCACGUGAUGAUCGGGUGUGAUGGAUUCUUACGUUCACAUACAACGGGUGUAAGACAGUUUUACACAGCGAAAACACUUAGGGUUAACUUGACGAGCCUAGCAUGUGCAGACAUGGCCUCGGAACACGGAGACCGAAAGGUCGAGCAUGAGUCGUAUGGUAGAUACGAUCAACAUGAAGAUGUUCACCGACGUUAACUAGUCCGUCUCACGUGAUGAUCGGACACGGGCUAGUUGACUCGGAUCAUGUAAUCACUUAGAUGACUAGAGGGAUGUCUAUCUGAGUGGGAGUUCAUAAGAUGAACUUAAUUAUCCUGAACAUAGUCAAAAGACCUUUUGCAAAUUAUGUCGUAGCUCGCGCUAUAGUUCUACUGUUUUAGACAUGUUCCUAGAGAAAAUAUAGUUGAAAGUUGAUAGUAGCAAUUAUGCGGACAGUAGAAAGCUUAUGUCCUUAAUGCACUGCUCAGUGUGCUGAACCCCAAACGUCGUUUGUGGAUGUUGCGAACAUCGAACAUACACAUUUUGAUAACUACGUGAUAGUUCAGUUAAAUGGUUUAGAGUAUAGGCACCAAAGACGUUUUCGAAAUGUCGCGGAACAUAUGAGAUGUUUCGAGGGCUGAAAUUAAGAUUUCAGGCUCGUGCCCACGUCAAGAGGUAUGAGACCUCCGACGAUUUUCUUAGCCUGCAAACUAAGGGAGAAAAGCUCAAUCGUUGAGCUUGUGCUCAGAUUGUCUGAGUACAACAAUCACUUGAAUCAAGUGGGAGUUGAUCUUCCAGAUGAAAUAGUGAUAGUUUCUCCGAAGUCAUUACCACCAAGCUGCUAGAGCUUCAUGAUGAACUAUAACAUAUCAAGGAUAGAGAUGAUGAUCCUUGAGGUAUUCGCGUUGUUUGACAUCGCGAAAGUAGAAAUCAAGAAGGAGCAUCAAUUGUUGAUGGUUGGUGAAACCACUAGUUUCAAGAAGGGCAAGGGAACAAAGGGAUACUUCAUGAAACGGCAAAUCAGCUGCUGCACCAAUGAAGAAACCCGAGGUUGAACCCAAACCCGAGACUAAGUGCUUCUGUAAUAAGGGGAACAACCACUGGAGCAAGAUUACCCUAGAUACUUGGUAGAUGAGAAGGCUGGCAAGGUCGAUAGAAGUAUAUUGGAUAUACAUUAUGUUAAUGUGUACUUUACUAGUACUCCUAGUAGCACCAGGGUAUUGGAUACCGGUUCGGUUGCUAAGUGUUAGUAACUCGAAAUAAAAGCUACGGAAUAAACGGAGACUAGCUAAAGGUGAGAUGACGAUAUGUGUUGGAAGUAUUUCCAAGGUUGAUCAAAUAUCGUACGCUCCCUCUACCAUCGAGAUUGGUGUUUGCGUUGAGCAUAGACAUGAUUGGAUCAUGUCUAUCGCAAUACGGUUAUUCAUUUAAGGAGAAUAAUGGUUACUCUGUUUAUUUGAAUAAUACCUUCAAUGGUCUUACACCUAAAAUGAAUGGUUUAUUGAAACUCGAUCGUAGUGAUACACAUUUUCAUGCCAAAAGAUAUAAGAUAGUAAUGAUAAUACCACCUACUUGUGGCACUGCCAUGUAAGUCAUAUUGGUAUAAAACGCAUGAAGAAGCUCCAUGUUGAUGGAUCUUUGGACUCACUCGUUUUUGAAAAGUUUGAGACAUGCGAACCAUAUCUAUUGGUGUAUAUGCAUGAAGAAACUCCAUGCAAAUGGAUCGUUCGGACUCACUUGAUUUUGAAUCACUUGAGAUAUGCAAAUCAUACCACAUGGGCAAGAUGACUGAAAAGCCUCACUUUCAGUAAAAUGGAACAAGAUAGCAACUUGUUGGAAGUAACACAUUUUGAUGUGUGCAGUCCAAUAAGUGCUGAGGCAUGCAGUGAAUAUCGUUAUGUUCUUACUUCACAGAUGAUUCGAGUAGAUGUUGAGAAUAUUUACUUGAUGAAACAAAAGUCUGAAUUAUUGAAUGGUUCAAGUAAUUUCAGAGUGAAGUAGAAGAUCAUUGUGACAAGAGGAUAAAAUGUCUAUGAUAUGAUCAUAAAGAUGAAUAUCUGAGUUACGAGUUUUGGCACACAAUUAAGACAUUGUGGAAAUUGUUUCGCAAUUAAUACCGCCUGGAACACCAUAAUGUGAUGGUGUGUCCAUCAUGGUGCGUACCAUGAUGUCUCUUAUCGAAUUACCACUAUCGUUCAUGGGUUAGGCAUUAGAGACAACCACAUUCACUUUAAAUAGGGCACCACGUAAUUCCGAUGAGAUGACACUGUAUGAAUUAUGGUUUAGAGAAACCUAAGUUGUCGUUUCUUAAAGGUUUGGGGCUGCGACGCUUAUAUGAAAAAGUUUCAGGUUGAUAAGCUCGAACCCAAAGCGGAUAAAAUGCAUCUUCAUAGGAAACCCAAAACAGUUGGGUAUACCUCCUAAUUCAGAUCCGAAAGCAAUAUGUAUUGUUUCUAGAAUCGGGUCCUUUCUCGAGGAAAAGUUUCUCUCGAAAGAAUUGAGUGGGAGGAUGGUGGAAACUUGAUGAGGUUAUUGAACCGUCUCUUCAACUAGUGUGUGGCAGGGCACAGGAAGUUGUUCCUGUGGCACCUACACCAAUUGAAGUGGAAGCUUAUGAUAGUGAUCAUGAAACUUCGGAUCAAGUCACUACCAAACCUCGUAGGACGACAAGGACACGUACUACUUCGGAGUGGUAAGGUGAUCCUGUCUUGAAGGUCAUGUUGCUAGACAACAAUGAACCUACGAGCUAUGGAGAAGCGAUGGUGGGCCCGGAUUCCGAUAAAUGGCUCGAGGCCAUAAAAUCCGAGAACGGAUCCAUGACUUGAUGGUCGUAAGGCCAUUGGGUACGGAUGGAUUUUAAAAGGAAGACAGACAAUGAUGGUAAGAAUUACCAUUAAGAAAGCUCGACUUGUCGCUAAGAUAUUUUCCGACAAGUUCAAGGAGUUGAUUACGGUGAGGUUUUCUCACUCGUAGCGAUGCUAAGAGUCUGUUGGAAUUGGAUUAGCAGUUACUGCAUGAUUGAUGAAAUCUUGCAGAUAGGAUGUCAAAACAUUGUUUCCUCGACGUUAUACUUGAGGAAAGGUUGUAUGUAAUACAACCGGAAGGUUUUGUCAAUCCCAAAAGAUGCUAAUAAGUAUGCAAAGCUCCAGCAAUCCUUCUAAGGACUGGAGUAAGCAUCUCGGAGUUGGAAUGUAUGCUUUGAUGAUGAUCAAAGAUUUUGGGUUUGUACAAAGUUUAUGAGAAACUUGUAUUUCCAAAGAAGUGAGUGGGAGCACUAUAGAAUUUCUGAUGAGUAUAUGUUGAUCAGAAAUGAUAUAGAAUUUCUAGAAAGCAUAUAGGGUUAUUUGAAAGGUGUUUUUCAAUAGAAAACCUGGAUUAAGCUACUUGAACAUUGAGCAUCGAGAUCUAUAAGGAUAGAUCAAAAUGCUUAAUAAUACUUUCAAAUGAGCACAUACCUUGACAUGAUCUUGAAGGUGUUCAAGAUGGACCAGUCAAAGAAGGAGUUCUUGCCUGAGUUGUAAGGUACGAAGUUAAGACUUAAAGCUCGACCACGGCAGAAUAGAGAGAAAGGACGAAGGUCGUCCCCUAUGCUUAAGACGUAGGCUCUUCAGUAUGCUAUGCUGUGUACCGCACCGAAAGUGUGCCUUGCCAUGAGUCAGUCAAGGGGUACAAGAGUGAUCCAUCAAUGGAUCACAGGACAGCGGUCAAAGUUAUCCUUAGUAACUAGUGGACUAAGGAAUUUUCUCGAUUAUGGAGGUGGUAAAAGAGUUCGUCGUAAAGGUUACGACGAUGCAAGCUUAACACCUAUCCGGAUAGCUCUAAGUAGAGAUACCGGAUACGUACAAUGGGGCAACAAUUUAGAAUAGUUGCAAGUAGAACAGUUGUUUGGAAUAGCUCCAAAUAGAGCGUGGUAGCUGCAUCUAGAAGAUGACAUGGAGAUUUGUAAAGCACACACGGAUCUGAAAGGUUCAGACCCGUUGACUAAAACCUCUCUCACAAGCAACAUGAUCAAACAUAAAACUCAUUGAGUGUUAAUCACAUAGUGAUGUGAACUAGACUACUGACUCUAGUAAACUCUUGGGUAUUAGUCACAUGGCGAUGUGACCUGUGAGUGUUAAUCACAUGGCGAUGUGAACUAGAUUAUUGACUCUAGUGCAAGUGGGAGACUGUUGGAAAUAUGCCCUAGAGGCAAUAAUAAAAGUAUUAUUAUUAUAUUUCCUUGUUCAUGAUAAUUGUCUUUUAUUCAUGCUAUAACUGUAUUAUCCGGAAAUCGUAAUACACGUGUGAAUACAUAGACCACAAUAUGUCCCUAGUAAGCCUCUAGUUGACUAGCUCGUUGAUCAAUAGAUGGUCACGAUUUCCUGGCUAUGGACAUUGGAUGUCGUUGAUAACGGGAUCACAUCAUUAGGAGAAUGAUGUGAUGGACAAGACCCAAUCCUAAGACUAGCACAAAGAUCGUGUAGUUCGUUUGCUAGAGCUUUGCCAAUGUCAAGUAUCUCUUCCUUUGACCAUGAGAUCGUGUAACUCCUGGAUACCGUAGGAGUGCUUUGGGUGUAUCAAACGUCACAACGUAACUGGGUGACUAUAAAGGUGCACUACAGGUAUCUCCGAAAGUAUCUAUUGUUUUAUGCGGAUCGAGACUGGAAUUUGUCACUCCGUGUAAACGGAGAGGUAACUCUGGGCCCACUCGGUAGGACAUCAUCAUAUGCGCAAUGUGACCAAGGAGUUGAUCACGGGAUGAUGUGUUACGGAACGAGUAAAGUGACUUGCCGGUAACGAGAUUGAACAAGGUAUCGGUAUACCGACGAUCGAAUCUCGGGCAAGUAAAAUACCGCUAGACAAAGGGAAUUGUAUACGGGAUCGAUUGAGUCCUUGACAUCGUGGUUCAUCCGAUGAGAUCAUCGUGGAACAUGUGGGAGCCAUCAUGGGUAUCCAGAUCCCGCUGUUGGUUAUUGACCGGAGAACGUCUCGGUCAUGUCUGCAUGUCUCCCGAACCCGUAGGGUCUACACACUUAAGGUUCGAUGACGCUAGGGUUAUAAAGGAAGCUUGUAUGUGGUAACCGAAUGUUGUUCAGAGUCCCGGAUGAGAUCCCGGACGUCACGAGGAGUUCCGGAAUGGUCCGGAGGUAAAGAUUUAUAUAUAGGAAGUCCUGUUUCGGCCAUCGGGACAAGUUUCGGGGUCAUCGGUAUUGUACCGGGACCACCGGAAGGGUCCCGGGGGCCCACCGGGUGGGGCCACCUGCCCCGGGGGGCCACAUGGGCUGUAGGGGGUGCGCCUUGGCCUACAUGGGCCAAGGGCACCAGCCCCUAGAGGCCCAUGCGCCAAGAUAAAGGAAAAAGGGGAGAGUCCUAAAGGGGGAAGGCACCUCCGAGGUGCCUUGGGGAGGAUGGACUCCUCCCCCCCUCCUUGGCCGCACCCCAAAACCCAUCUAGGGCUGGCCGCCGCCCCUAGGGGGUGGGAAAACCCUAAAGGGGGCGCAGCCCCCUUCCCCCCUAUAUAUAUUGAGGCAUGGGGCUGCCCAUAACACAUGAUUUGAUCUCUCGUUGGUGCAGCCCUGCCCCUCUCCCUCCUCCUCUUCUCCCAUGGUGCUUGGCGAAGCCCUGCGGGAUUGCCACGCUCCUCCACCACCACCACGCCAUUGUGCUGCUGUUGGAUGGAGUCUUCCUCAACCUCUCCCUCUCUCCUUGCUGGAUCAAGGCGUGGGAGACGUCACCGGGCUGUACGUGUGUUGAACGCGGAGGUGCCGUCCGUUCGGCACUUGAUCAUCGGUGAUUUGAAUCACGACGAGUACGACUCCAUCAACCCCGUUCACUUGAACGCUUCCGCUUAGCGAUCUACAAGGGUAUGUAGAUGAACUCCUCCUUCUACUCGUUGCUGGUCUCUCCAUAGAUAGAUCUUGGUGUUACGUAGGAAAUUUUUUGAAUUUCUGCUACGUUCCCCAACAAAAACUACCUAACUAGGCAAGUUUAAAUGAGGCCGGAAGAACAAACAACAAUUUCGGAAAAUCCCCAUAUGCAUAUUUUGAAUUAGCUACUGUUCUGCCCUAAAACAUAUUUUAAAGUUGUUAAACAGGAAAAUAAAGUUCACCAUGUUAAUCUAUGCAUUUUUCCACCCCAUUUACAUAUAAAGUUUAUUUAAAACCGAGCUACGGUUAUUUAGUUAUGAUAUAAAUCAUUUUAGCAUGACAUGUGAGCAAAUUUAAACAAACAUCAUUUUAAACAGUUUAAACAUGGAUGAAAAUAGCAUAAUAUGAAACUAGAUGAAAAACUAGUCAUUUUACAUAUAUAAAUUAUUUACAAAAGAUGCAUGGUUUGUGAGUAAUUAAAUGCAUGAAGUGCAAGGGGUUUUCUGUAAACUGACAUUCUCUGGAUAAAUGGCAAAAUUCGCUGAACAGGAAAAAAAACACAAGGGGCUGAAUCUCGAGUGGGCUUGGCUUCUCACCACGGCACUUGGGCCGAUUCGGCGCUGGGAUGGAGCAGAGCAAGCUGGCCCGGCUGGGUCUGUGGAGGGAGUCGGGCCGACUGGAGCUGGUCCACGCUGGCGCUGGAGCGGGUCAACGCAGGACCCGGUCGAGCCAGGCGCUCGCUGCUGGUGUUCGAUGCAGGGAAACAGAGGAUGCAGCAGCGAGGGACUUGCAGCGGCAGGCGCGGCGGAGGAGGCCCGGACGGUGAGGUCGCCGGGGACCUUGGCGGUGGAGGCGGCCGGAGGAAGCGGAUCCGGGCAGCAAGGUAGCAGGCCGGCGGCGAGGCAAACGGCGGCGGGGACGGAGCUGCAGCAGUCUCCGGCGACGAGGAACUUCGGCGGGACAGACUUGGCAGGGCGGCGGCGGGACUGAUGAACGGCGCGACAAGGAGGAAGAUGGGGAUCGGCGCGGAUGGAGCUCGGGGGCGCCGUCAGUUCCCUCGAGUUGCUGCUGUUCGUAGUAGAGGAAGCAGAGGCGAGGUCGGGCAUGGCGGUGCGGGGCUUGGCGAGGCGGCGGAGGCAGGGCUUGCCGGCGGUGUCCAAGGCGAAGCAGGGGAGCUCCAACAUGGCAGCGGCGGCCGCAACCGCUGGUUCCUGCGGACGCGGACGACGACGGCUGUGGGCGGCCGGACGCGUCCACGAUCAAGGGAGGAGGAGGCACGAGGUGCUGGUGCUGGGCGACGACGUGGGGUGCUGCUGCUGCUCUUGGGUUCUGGUUGGAGAAGAGCUUGGGCCAGCUGGGGCCUCGGGCGCCAUGGUGACGGGAACCUGCGGGAGCUCUCUGUUUCAACGAGGCAAGGCAGAGAGAGAGCGAUUAGCGGAGGCGGGAGGAGCAGGGGAAGAAGAAGAAAAACAGCAGGGCGACGCUCAUCUGCUGGGCGCGCCGGCGACGUGGCUGGCCGAACGGAGACGGGGAAGCUCGGGGCUCCGAGGAACGGGAGGAGAAGCGCAACCGCGGCUGUGGUGAUUGGCUCGCUGGGGAAAACGAGAGGAGGCUGGAGGAAUUUUGGAUCGGGAGGGGAUGGAUCUGGAUCGCGAGGAAGAUACGGUAAGUGGCGGCGGCUCGACGGGACAAAGUCCCUAGAUUUUAGGGUUUGUCCAAAAUGACUAAAGGUGGACUAUAAAUACCUCACAGAUUAGGUUAGGGGCUAUCUCGGUCCCUCUGCUCGAAAAUGGACGGUCGCGAAUAAAAUAGUUAGGGAGCCCAAUUAACAAAACGGAGAUGUUUUGUAGACGUUAGGAGAUGAUCUGGAUCCAACGGUAACGACAGACCGGUUCAGGUUCGGGCAAGUUUCGGACACGCUCAAGAGGGGAGGUGGUUGUGCAGAGAGGGUCAAACGGUCAGACAAGAGGGAAUCGAAAACCCGGUUAGACUCGGAACGGCCAACAAAAGCAAGGGGGACACGGCAACUACGAGCAGAUGCAAGUUUUAUGAAAAUGAUGUCGAUGCAAUGUGAAUGAUGACAUGAGACGAGAUGCAUAACAAGAACAAAAUGCAAAACAACAGACAAAAACCCAACCACGGAGGAAAAAAAUAUAUCACAUCUCCGGAAAAGGCAAGAGUCGGAGUUAUGAAUAUGGAAAGCUACAUCCGGGGCGUUACAACACUCCACCACUACGAGAGGAUCUCGUCCCGAGAUCUAGGAUGGCACCGGAGGGAAAACGGAAGAGGAAGAGAAGAGGUAAACUAAGUUGCUUCUUCGACAAACGAGGGAAACCAUGAACCUUGAGAGGUUGAGCAAAAUGAAAGAAAGAAAACAACAAAGAUGAACAAAGUAGAAAACACUUCGUUAGAAAAGAGGAACAAGGGAUACGACGAGAACCAAGAGGUUUAGUGAUAAGAUAGAUAUUGAAACCACUCCGGUUAAAACUAGAUAGAGAAGGAAUAAGAUUGAUAUAAUUUGGGCAGCACUCCGACUGAAAGAAGGAAAACUUGAUAAGAUGAAAAGAACUUGAAGAGAUGACACAACACUCAGGUUAAAUGGAUAAGCAAAAAAAAGAACACGAUCCUCACAAAACGAGGUGAUGGGUGAAGAGCACAACAUCACAAUGCCUCCGUAAUGAAAGAAUAGAAGUUAGACCUUUGGGAUAAAGGGACGGAGAAGAAAAUGACAACUUUUGCCACAAGUGAACUUGGAAAGCAUCCUUGCAAAGAAGAAUCGAACGGAGUUGUUGCAAAAUCAACAACGAAAAGCACAAGCUUGUUGUGGGCUUAUGGCAAACAUCUCAAAAUUAUGAGGUGAGUUUGUGCCACCAACGGAAACAAAUGAUUGGAUUUAUAUCAACAAGGAGACGAGAAACUUAUUUCACCGGGAGGACAAACGAAGAACUUGGGUCAUUUAUAAGCACCAUAAAUAGCAACAAUCCUUAUGGAAAGCUUUAGGUGAAAUAUAACCCAAGAUAACUCCGAUGAAGAGAUUGAUGGAUUUAAAAUACCUCAUUCUUGACAACAUGUUAAUCAUGAAGCAUGAAGGGAAAUUGUCAAGAAUGACAUAACACCACCUCAAAAGAUAAGGUAGAAAGAAUUGCACUUCGGAAUGCAAGAUGAAGAAUACUUGAACUCCUUAAAACAAAACAUGUGUUGAGCACCAUGUUAAUUUGAGUAUAGCUUGGCGGAUCUUAACUUCGAGAGAAAUCUUGAUGAACAAUUGAAGAAUGAAAAGAAUCCUUGAUGAAGCACCAUGUAGAGUCUCCAUGAAGAACUCUGGUAAUAAAAGGAUGAUAGAAAGAAAGAGAGGUUGAAAACACAAGGUUUCCUUUCGAUGAUUUAGAUGGAGCCUCGCGACGAGAUAAUGCGGAAAACUUGGAACUCCGGAAAAAAAAUAGAUGAACAACAAGAAGGCAAGAAUUUAUUCCUCCUGAACAAACUCUGAAGGAAAGGAUUAAUCACUUGGAUGAAACAAGAAUAAGAAUUAUGUUAUGCGUAUCCUUCACCAAUUUAAAUUGAUGACAAGCAACAGAUUUGGCAUACUACUUAUUCUCGUAGAAAGGAUUAAGAGAGAUAUAGCGUAAACUUCCGAAAAGUCUUCAACGAUCCACAGGUAGAAUUCGGAAAGAACGAAUUAAUUGAUACGAUAACAACAGAAGAGGAAUGUUGAAAGAACCACCGUAAGAAUUGAAAAUGAAAGUAGCAAAGGCACAAUUCACCGAGAAGAAUUGAAAAAUGAAUGAAGAUACUUGAGGGGAUUUAGAUACAUGAGAACGAAGAGAUCAUGAACUGGUUAGAGGGUAUUUGAACGAUUCACCGAUAAGAUUUGGAGAACGAUAGCUAGACACUGAGAAUGAAGAAUUAUGACAUAAUGGACUUCGGAGGAAAGAAAUGGAAACAACUCAUGAAAUGCUCCGGACGAGUGAAAAAAAUUCUCACAAUCGAAAACAAUUAUGAGAGGAUGGCAUAAAGCUAGAACCAUGAAUAUUCAAGAGAAUGGACCAAGAUUUUAGGAGAAAUCUCUUCCUCGGUCUUCAAAUGAUGAGAAUGACAACGAGAAACACCACCAAGAAUUAUUGAGGCACACCGGAAGAAUCAAAAGCGAAGAGGUUAAGCCAACUAUGAAAAGAAUUUGAAAGAUCUUGGAGAAAAGCAUUUGACUGAUGAUAACUCAUUCUUACGUCAAACUUUGAGAAGAAUUUAGGAUAGCUCUCGGAAAAUAGAAGAGUCAGGUAAGAUCCUGGGAAAAGACCUGUGGGUUAGGGCCCACUCAAAAGAACACCGUUGAAAAGAUUUAAAAGAGAUGUUGCACCGGUUGAAUCAAAUGGCUUGAAUGAGAUAACAAUGUUGAAAUAGUUUGAACGGAUUAAGAAUGGAAACACGAAUCUUCAGAGAUAUCUUCAACACUUGGGAACAAAUGAAUAGCGAGAGGUGGAUGAUAAUGAGGUGCACCGGUAUGAGAAGACGUUGAAAUGAGGAAAAAGGUAUGAUCAACAAAACUUGACUUGAAUCCACCGGAGAAGAAACAACAAUGAAGGAUGAUGAACUUGUAUCUCGUGAGCAUCUUCACGAGGGAUCACCGGAUCAGAACAUUGAUGGAAAAGAAUGGAGAAACUUCACAAAAAUAAAAGGAUACUUGGUAAAGAAAUCUUAGUUCUUGAGGAAAAGGGUGGGUGGGUGGGAAAAAACAAAGGCAACUUGGAGACGGAUGAAACAAACACCGUUGAGAAAACUUAGAUUUAAUCUCGCAAUGUUGGAAUGAUCGGGUCCACUUGAAGAGAAACACGCCGGUUGGAAAAGAAUUAACAUGGCAACCUCAAUGAUCAAGAAGGAUUAGUAUUCACAUAGAAAUAUGAGAACACCAUUUAGGAAAGGUAUGGAUUCAACAUUUGACAUCGAAGCAACUCAAAUACCACAAAUAAAACAAAACAAAGGAUUUGGCUUGCAGAAUAAGCCGGAACAAAUACAUAUGAUAGAGAUUUACCCAAUCCCAUAUCAUGCAUCUGCCGAAAAGAUAUUCUAAGAGCUACUUGAAUUCCCACCUAUAAACUCCCGAAACUUUCUGGUUAUGCAAUCUGGUGUUGGGGAUACAGGGGAAGCAAUAUAUCUCACCCAAACUAACAAUCCCUACAUCCAGCUGUAUCCAUCCGUCAACACAUAACCAAGAAACCUUCGGAAAUCGUGUACCUCAACCUUCGAAAAGCAUCCGUUAUACCGAAAAAGGGUUUCCCCCCGCUUUAUAUUAUAAAGCAAACAUCACCGAGUACAUCCGAGAUACCGAACCACGCACACACCGCACACACCCAAGGCAAGAUACAAAGGUGCCAGGCACCGACACACCACCCCACCGACAACCAAUAGAGAGGUGAACCGGACCAAAACGAAGCCAGGCCUCCAAAGCGGUGCCUCCAAGAAGGAUACGACCAUGGGUAGCCGCCACCGCCCGAUCAGCGGAGAUCAGGUUUUCACCCGGAGCAAGACGACAAGAGUGUGAAUGCCGCGACGGAGCCUUCAGGAAGGGUACGGCGGCAACGGCCACCGCCACCGUCGGCCAGUCAAAGGGCUGGACAGGUGGUGUACCCCGGCGCUCACACCCCACCGAUGAGCCUGAACUUCGUCGUCCGCCCGCAACCACGCCACCUACGCGGCCAUGAUUGCCAGCCCGCACCUGAGACGCACGCUCCGCCCACGAACGUCGCGCCUCCCGCCGCCAGAGCCGCCGCCCUGCAACCAGACAACCCCGAGACCAACACAAGGCCCCAACUUUGGACCAACCGAUGGCCCUCGACCGACGGAACCACCCGCCGACGCUCCGCUGGUAACCUGUGCCGACCCGCCCACGGCCGAGGAAAGGGGGAGAAAGGGGGAGCGGACGAAUCCGGACCGGCAAGACGUGCCGGCGACAGGUGACGCGACCGCAUCGAGGCCACCCAUCCCUCCAACCAAGCUCCCCGCCGAACACGGGGAAGGGGGGAGAAGGAGGACCCCCAUGUCGCCCCACCAUGGUAGCUGACACACAUCUCCGCGAGGCCAUCGGAAACCGUGAGCCCGCCGACGAGGGAGACCAAAUCAACCCGCAGCUGCAGCCAUGGAAGCUCCUCGGAGAUGCCUCCUCGCGCCGUCCGUCGACGUCCGAGCGCCAGACCAGGGAGGAUCUGACGCAGACUCGACCAACACGCCCCGCCAGCCACCACCACUACGCCGUCACCCCCACCCGCCCGAAGCCAGGGCAGGGGCGGCCGCCCACAGAUCCAUGUCGCCCGCGACCCGCACCACCUCAGCGCCAAGCCAGGAGCCGGCCCAGGCCACCGGAGCCCGCCACCGACGCCCUGCUUCGUCGCCCCUGCCGCCACNNNNNNNNNNNNNNNNNNNNNNNNNNNNNNNNNNNNNNNNNNNNNNNNNNNNNNNNNNNNNNNNNNNNNNNNNNNNNNNNNNNNNNNNNNNNNNNNNNNNNNNNNNNNNNNNNNNNNNNNNNNNNNNNNNNNNNNNNNNNNNNNNNNNNNNNNNNNNNNNNNNNNNNNNNNNNNNNNNNNNNNNNNNNNNNNNNNNNNNNNNNNNNNNNNNNNNNNNNNNNNNNNNNNNNNNNNNNNNNNNNNNNNNNNNNNNNNNNNNNNNNNNNNNNNNNNNNNNNNNNNNNNNNNNNNNNNNNNNNNNNNNNNNNNNNNNNNNNNNNNNNNNNNNNNNNNNNNNNNNNNNNNNNNNNNNNNNNNNNNNNNNNNNNNNNNNNNNNNNNNNNNNNNNNNNNNNNNNNNNNNNNNNNNNNNNNNNNNNNNNNNNNNNNNNNNNNNNNNNNNNNNNNNNNNNNNNNNNNNNNNNNNNNNNNNNNNNNNNNNNNNNNNNNNNNNNNNNNNNNNNNNNNNNNNNNNNNNNNNNNNNNNNNNNNNNNNNNNNNNNNNNNNNNNNNNNNNNNNNNNNNNNNNNNNNNNNNNNNNNNNNNNNNNNNNNNNNNNNNNNNNNNNNNNNNNNNNNNNNNNNNNNNNNNNNNNNNNNNNNNNNNNNNNNNNNNNNNNNNNNNNNNNNNNNNNNNNNNNNNNNNNNNNNNNNNNNNNNNNNNNNNNNNNNNNNNNNNNNNNNNNNNNNNNNNNNNNNNNNNNNNNNNNNNNNNNNNNNNNNNNNNNNNNNNNNNNNNNNNNNNNNNNNNNNNNNNNNNNNNNGGAGGGAGGAAGGGCGCGGAGAGCCGGCGGCUAGGGUUUCCCCCGCGUCGCUCGCGAGAGCGGCGGCGGCGGGGGGGGGGGGAAUGCGUUGUUUUUCAUCAAAAGCAUCCGUUAUACGAGUCAUGGCAAUACUCCCAUACUCACCUCAGUACUGGGUUAUUGAGGUUAUCUCACCAACAACUGCAUAAAAGAGAUUUUCGAUGUCGGCGUACUAAACUCAGGUAUUCCAGAACUGCAACGAUAAAAUUAUGACGACAACAUCUCAGAGCUCAACUCCCCGGGACACUUCCACUAAACCCCUGACAGGAGGCACCAAGACAAUGUUCUCAUCAUAAAACCAUCGGAACGAUUCCAAAAUACCCGCGUGAUCCUAAAUUUUUUUUAGUGAAAUUUGAGAAGAGAAAAGUCAAAACUCUACGUCAGGAAGCCUUACCAGAGCGAUGAAGAGACUGGGGAGUAAAAAGAAUUCCUAACUCUCUGAUAUAUAUAAUCCUAAAUGACUCAAAACAUUUUUCUAGACACAACUCGGACGCUAAAAACGAUCAAGCAGUGGGGCUCCUAAGGUCGGGGAACACUCUGAUUACCAACUUAUAACGCCCUCGAUGCGGCUAUAUCUCCCACGUGUCGAAGCACGACUUAGAGGCAUAACCGCAUUGGAAGCAAUGUCGCAAGUGAGGUAAUCUUCGCACAACCCAUUUAUUACAUAAGGGAAAGAGAUACAUAGUUGGCUUACAACCGCCACUUCACACAAUACCUGAAUAAAGCAUUACAUCAUCCAGAUACAAUCAAGGUCCGACUACGGAACCAAAAUAAAAGAAGAACCCCAAAUGCGACAAAGGUCCCCGAUCGACCCCAACUGGGCUCCACUACUGAUCAACUAGAACGAAACAACACAAAGGGCAAGAUCUUCAUCGAGCUCCUCCUUGAGCUUGGUUGCGUCACCUGCUCGGUAACAUAGGCACCUGCAAACUGGUUUUGGAAGUAUCUGUGAGCCACGGGGACUCAGCAAUCUCACACCCGCGAGAUCAAGACUAUUUAAGCUUAUGGGUAAGGUAAAGGCAUGAGGUGGAGCUGCAGCAAGCGACUAGCAUAUAUGGUGGCUAACAUACAUAAAUAAGAGCGAGAAGAGAAAGCAAAGUACGGUCGAUAAAAGUAUGAUCAAGAAGUGAUCCUAUAGCAACCUACGUCAAGCAUAACUCCAACACCGUGUUCACUUGCCGGACUCCGCCGAGAAGAGACCAUCACGGUUACACACGCGGUUGAUGUAUUUUAAUUGAGGUCAACUUCAGGUUUUCUACAACCGGACAUUAACAAAUUCCCAUCUGCCACAUAACCACGGGCACGGCUCUCGAAAGUUUAUACCCUGCAGGGGUGUCCCAACUUAGCCCAUGACAAGCUCUCGCGAUCAACGAAGGAAUAGACCUUCACCCGAGACACUCCGAUCAGACUCGGUAUCCCGGUACAUCAAGACAUUUCAACAAUGGUAAAACAAGACCAGCAAGACCUCCCGGCGUGCCGACAUCCUGAUAGUAGCCACGCGUAUCUCGUCUCAGGCCACAACCGGAUGAACACUACGUACGGCAACCGACGAUACCCCAAGUUGCCUAGGGGCGACACCGCAAGUGGCUCUGGUUUGGACCAACACUUAGACAAGCAUUGGCCCGGGGGGGCUAUAAUAAAGAUGACCCUUGGGUUAAUUACUCCCAAGGGAAAAGUAGGUGGUGGUGAGGCAAAUGGUAAAAGUCAAUGUUGGGCCUUGCUGGACAAGUUUUAUUCAAAGCGAACUAUCAAGGGGGUCCCAUAAAUCACCCGACCACGUAAGGAACGCAAAAUCCGGGAACAUAAC